rnacentral:rRNA from 1 species
UACGUAGGGUGCAAGCGUUAAUCGGAAUUACUGGGCGUAAAGCGUGCGCAGGCGGUCCGCUAAGACAGAUGUGAAAUCCCCGGGCUUAACCUGGGAACUGCAUUUGUGACUGGCGGGCUAGAGUAUGGCAGAGGGGGGUAGAAUUCCACGUGUAGCAGUGAAAUGCGUAGAGAUGUGGAGGAAUACCAAUGGCGAAGGCAGCCCCCUGGGCCAAUACAGACGCUCAUGCACGAAAGCGUGGGGGAGCAAGCAGGAUUAGAUACCCUGGUAGUCCACGCCCUAAACGAUGUCAACUAGUUGUCGGGUCUUCAUUGACUUGGUAACGUAGCUAACGCGUGAAGUUGACCGCCUGGGGAGUACGGUCGCAAGAUUAAAACUCAA